AGUAAACGCUGGCGGUAGGCCUAACACAUGCAAGUCGAACGGCAGCACAGUAAGAGCUUGCUCUUACGGGUGGCGAGUGGCGGACGGGUGAGGAAUACAUCGGAAUCUACUUUUUCGUGGGGGAUAACGUAGGGAAACUUACGCUAAUACCGCAUACGACCUACGGGUGAAAGCAGGGGAUCUUCGCACCUUGCGCGAUUGAAUGAGCCGAUGUCGGAUUAGCUAGUUGGCGGGGUAAAGGCCCACCAAGGCGACGAUCCGUAGCUGGUCUGAGAGGAUGAUCAGCCACACUGGAACUGAGACACCGUCCAGACUCCUACGGGAGGCAGCAGUGGGGAAUAUUGGACAAUGGGCGCAAGCCUGAUCCAGCCAUACCGCGUGGGUGAAGAAGGCCUUCGGGUUGUAAAGCCCUUUUGUUGGGAAAGAAAAGCAGCAGGUUAAUACCCCGCUGUUCUGACGGUACCCAAAGAAUAAGCACCGGCUAACUUCGUG
rnacentral:rRNA from 1 species